rnacentral:rRNA from 1 species
UACGUAGGGUGCAAGCGUUAAUCGGAAUUACUGGGCGUAAAGCGUGCGCAGGCGGUUAUGCAAGACAGAUGUGAAAUCCCCGGGCUCAACCUGGGAACUGCAUUUGUGACUGCAUGGCUGGAGUGCGGCAGAGGGGGAUGGAAUUCCGCGUGUAGCAGUGAAAUGCGUAGAUAUGCGGAGGAACACCGAUGGCGAAGGCAAGUCCCUG